AUUGAACGCUGGCGGCAGGCCUAACACAUGCAAGUCGAGCGGAUGAAGGGAGCUUGCUCCUGGAUUCAGCGGCGGACGGGUGAGUAAUGCCUAGGAAUCUGCCUGGUAGUGGGGGAUAACGUCGGGAACGGGCGCUAAUAACGCAUACGUCCUGAGGGAGAAAGUGGGGGAUCUUCGGACCUCACGCUAUCAGAUGAACCUAGGUCGGAUUAGCUAGUUGGUGGGGUAAAGGCCUACCAAGGCGACGAUCCGUAACUGGUCUGAGAGGAUGAUCAGUCACACUGGAACUGAGACACGGUCCAGACUCCUACGGGAGGCAGCAGUGGGGAAUAUUGGACAAUGGGCGAAAGCCUGAUCCAGCCAUGCCGCGUGUGUGAAGAAGGUCUUCGGAUUGUAAAGCACUUUAAGUUGGGAGGAAGGGCAGUAAGUUAAUACCUUGCUGUUUUGACGUUACCAACAGAAUAAGCACCGGCUAACUUCGUG
rnacentral:rRNA from 1 species